rnacentral:rRNA from 1 species
AUUGAACGCUGGCGGCCGGCCUAACACAUGCAAGUCGAACGAGUGGCGGACGGGUGAGUAAUGUAUGGGAAACUGCCUGAUGGAGGGGGAUAACUACUGGAAACGGUAGCUAAUACCGCAUACUAUCGGAUGUGCCCAUAUGGGAUUGGCUAGUAGGUGGGGUAAAGGCUAACCUAGGCGACGAUCCCUAGCUGGUCUGAGAGGAUGACCAGCCACACAGGAACUUGGACACGGGCCGGACUCCUACGGGAGGCAGCAGUGGGGAAUAUUGCACAAUGGGCGCAAGCCUGAUGCGGCCAUGCCGCGUGUAUGAAGAGGGCCUUCGGGUUGUAAAGUACUUUCGGCGGGGAGGCGUUACCCGCAGAGGAAGCACCGGCUAACUCCGUGCCAGCAGCCGCGGUAAUUC